rnacentral:tRNA from 1 species
CAGAGGAUAGUUUAAUUUCAGAAUGCUAGCUUUGGGAGCUAGUGGUGGGAGUUUAAUUCUCUCUCCUUUGGG